rnacentral:rRNA from 1 species
GAUGAACGCUGGCGGCGUGCCUAAUACAUGCAAGUCGAGCGAACAGACGAGGAGCUUGCUCCUUCGACGUUAGCGGCGGACGGGUGAGUAACACGUAGGUAACCUACCUAUAAGACUGGGAUAACUUCGGGAAACCGGAGCUAGUACCGGAUAAUAUUUCGAACCGCAUGGUUCGAUAGUGAAAGAUGGCUUUGCUAUCACUUAUAGAUGGACCUGCGCCGUAUUAGCUAGUUGGUAAGGUAACGGCUUACCAAGGCAACGAUACGUAGCCGACCUGAGAGGGUGAUCAGCCACACUGGAACUGAGACACGGUCCAGACUCCUACGGGAGGCAGCAGUAGGGAAUCUUCCGCAAUGGGCGAAAGCCUGACGGAGCAACGCCGCGUGAGUGAUGAAGGUCUUCGGAUCGUAAAACUCUGUUAUUAGGGAAGAACAAACGUGUAAGUAACUGUGCACGUCUUGACGGUACCUAAUCAGAAAGCCACGGCUAACUACGUG